rnacentral:rRNA from 1 species
CGCCUCUUGAAAAAUUAUAAGAGGUCCAGCCUGCCCAGUGACUAAGUUCAACGGCCGCGGUACCCUAACCGUGCGAAGGUAGCAUAAUCACUUGUUCUUUAAAUGGGGACUUGUAUCAACGGCACCACGAGGGCUGCACUGUCUCCUUUCUUCAAUCAGUGAAACUGAUCUCCCCGUGAAGAAGCGGGGAUUCAUAUAUAAGACGAGAAGACCCCAUGGAGCUUCAAACUCAUUAUACAACUCUAUUCUCCACACCCUCCUAACACAAGAGACAUGUAUGAUGGUUUUGGGUUGGGGGGACCUCGGAGUAUAACAUAUCCUCCUAAGCAAACAGGUUAACACCUUUAUCCAUGAGGAACACCUCUAAGAAUUAUAAAAUUAAUGCAUCUGAUCCGAUAAUCGAUCAAUGAACCAAGUUACCCUGGGGAUAACAGCGCAAUCUACUUCAAGAGUUCCUAUCGACAAGUGGGUUUACGACCUCGAUGUUGGAUCAGGGUAUCCCAGUGGUGCAACCGCUACUAAUGGUUCGUUUGUUCAACGAUUAAAACCCU